ACAUUAGCAAGUUGAACGCACCAGUUCCCACCUGAUCACGGAAGUUAAGCAACAUUGCACGUGGUUGGCAUCUAGUUAGGUGACCACCUGGGCAAUUAUUAUAAGUA
rnacentral:rRNA from 1 species